UACGGGGGGAGCAAGCGUUGUUCGGAUUUACUGGGCGGAAAGGGCGCGUAGGCGGCCAGCGCAAGUCAGUUGUGAAAUCUCCGAGCUUAACUCGGAAAGGUCAACUGAUACUGCGCGGCUAGAGUGCAGAAGGGGCAACUGGAAUUCUCGGUGUAGCGGUGAAAUGCGUAGAUAUCGAGAGGAACACCUGCGGCGAAGGCGGGUUGCUGGGCUGACACUGACGCUGAGGCGCGAAAGCUAGGGGAGCGAACGGG
rnacentral:rRNA from 1 species